UACGAAGGGAGCUAGCGUUGUUCGGAAUCACUGGGCGCAAAGCGCACGUAGGCGGAUGUGUCAGUCAGGGGUGAAAUCCCGGAGCUCAACUUCGGAACUGCCUUUGAUACAGCACGUCUUGAGUCCGAUAGAGGUGGGUGGAAUUCCUAGUGUAGAGGUGAAAUUCGUAGAUAUUAGGAAGAACACCGGUGGCGAAGGCGGCCCACUGGAUCGGUACUGACGCUGAGGUGCGAAAGCGUGGGGAGCAAACAGG
rnacentral:rRNA from 1 species